AACUUUGAGCCGAUUCUCUAAUUUGUAAAAAUAUUUAAUCUGUGUUCGAAAACUAAUGGACUGACUACACCCUUUUUUUUCUAACGUAAUUUCAGCUUUUUUCAAUCUGUUAUUCAAUCCCAUCUGAGCCAUCCACCAGAACCUUGAUAAAUUCAUCAAGUAAUGAGACGCCUCACAGGAGCUGUUAUGCAAUCAAUCGUUCCGUGAUCUGAUUUUUAGUCUAAAAAAUUGUAAGUUUUAAAAUUUGUUUGGGUUACAUCUUUGCUUCAUAGGAUUUGAAUGUUUUGUGAGCUACGUACAGAAUGUAAAAUUAUGACCGGAUUUUUAUUUACCUCUUGUCUCAUAUAAGGAUUAAGGUUUUCAAUUGUUUUUUUUUUGCGCAUGACUAUUGAAUAUUGGUCGAAGAUCAAAAUCUAUGGCGUCCUUAACAGUGAAAGUUUAUUUAGGAAAGUCUUAUUCGUGAUUAAUAUGCAUGCCUUGCUCUCAGAUCUCACUCGAGUGUCGUGUCUGCUUUUCAGAACAACCGUUGGUCUCAGACGAAAAGCCGCCCAGCUGCGUCUAUCGAUGCCGCUUCUCAAAUCUCUUAUUGCCCAGAAUGUGGCAAAGGCUUUCGCGGAGUCUAUCGCAAGUACAAUAUCAAGAAGCACAUGGCAAUUCACACGGGUCUCAAAACUUUCCAGUGUCCGUACUGUCCUCACAACACAAAUAAGAAAGGCAACCUUAAAACGCACGUGCUUAUGGUUCACAAUUUGCCAUUCGAUGAUAAGUCGCGACCCGGCGAUGUGCAAAGUUCGUACAUCUCGUCUCGGCGCGCUACAACAGAUACCGUUACGCUGGCAUCAACAUACACUCCUCGAGUAAAUACUGAAGUAUUAAACCAAGGCGACUGCAGUCUUUAUACCCAUUAUCAAACGAAGGCAAGCAAGUCUGAUGCUAAUGCUAAGCUAUCUUCAACUCCACGCCACUCUGAAGGAUCUUUGAACGCUGAGACCUCUGCCAUCCGUUCCUCCAAGUCUUCGCCAGUGAUGAGCAACACGAUCUCGAAUGAUCAACCUGCACCUCAAGAGCUACGUCAAGUUUCAUCACAUCAACAGCCAGAUAACCUCAGGAAUGAAAUCACUUUCGCCUCCCUUGAGAAAUCCUGGUUGAGUGAUCCAAAUAACGAGAUUUAAAAAGGACAAUAAUUCAGCGGGCUAUUGGCCACUUGAGCUUCGCCAAGAAGGACGCCAACAUGACACCAUCAGUUGCGUUCAAGAGUACCUCAUCUGGUGUUUUCUCGACACCCUGUAACACUUCUGUGUCGCAUUGCAUGUCUUCGUUCAACCAAAAACCUCAAGGCUCCGCUAAGCAUCGUUCGAUGUCGUUACCUUACAACGAUGAACGUCUCAGGAUCGGGCAAGAUUAUUUCACGGAUUCACCAACCGCAGAUCACUCUACCGCAGUCCCAGGCCAAACAAGUGACCCGCUAAACACAUGCUCCUGUCACGUUUGUGGUAAAGAGUUCUUGGGUGAAUACAGGAAGUAUAACCUGCGCAAACAUUUGAUUCUUCACUCGGGAUCUCGCCCAUUUUUGUGCCCAUAUUGUCCGGCUGACUUCAACCAAAAAGGAAACUUGAAGAGGCACAUGAUUUCCGUUCAUAACAUUGUUGUCGUUAAGGAAAACGAAGAUCCUAGAAAUCAGGCUGUCGACGACACCGCGAAUCAAUCCUCUAUUUAACGGCAUGUACUUGAGCGAUGCUCUCAAACUCUCUAUACUUUUUUGUAACUUUGAUGCAUUUUACGUGUUUUGGGUUGGCAACUGGAAUAAUGAUAGGUUGAUCGUAAGGUUAACUACGAGAGUAGUCACACCAUAAAUCAAGUUUCUUGCGUUCGAGACAUUUAAUUAUGACUGAACUAACCGGCGAUUUUUCAAAUCGCUCGUCAGUGACAUGCACUCAUUCGUGCGAAUCUGUGCCUAUGAAUCUUCAUAAAUUGAUGGUAGGUCAACCGGCAGAGGCUCAUAACAUAUUUUUUUCUAGGAAUUUAUACCACUUUUUUUACUUUGGUGCUGUUCUUUACUGUUCAUUAAUGCGUGUAACAAUAACCUAUUUAAGAAUAAAUCAAAGGACAUAAUAAAUAUCUUGGCUGAUUUUUUUUUUGCUGUGUCAUUGUAUACGGAGGGCUUUACUAGACAUAAUAGACCCACUGGCUAUGUGUAGCGCCUCUAAUUGAACGUUUUGACAUGAGCUUAUACCUCGCAUGGCUUCUAAGCGUUUACGGAAAUAAACUCUUGAUUUUUUACACAUUUUAUCAAUCAUUUAGUAGACGUUGAUUCUUAUUUCUAAGAAGGUUUGUAUAAUAAAGAACGAGUGGUCUUACUGAGACUUGUGUGAGUUCACGAGCAUUUUUAAGUGUAUAUCCUCGUUCUCUUGUUUCAGUUUGAUGCUAUUGAUCACAUGUAAUUGCGUUAUGUGCCUUUGCUUCGUUGCGUUCUUUGCAAGCUAUACUUGAGGGUGGUUAUUUUUUAGACACGACUGUGGUGUUAAUGAUUUUCUACGAGGAAUCUUUGAUCUCUGUUGAUAUCGUCUCGUGAUAUAAUUACACAUGAUUAAGUAUCA